UAGUUAUAGUAAGUUUUGAAGUCUAAGACUCUAAGGAAAAUGCAGCCACAGCUGUGGUCACUAUGUGGCUGGAUAGACCACCAAAAGUGCAAUGUUUUGGUCACGGUUACAUUUGCUGACUGCAUUUUAAAACACAAUUAAUGGUGACAUCUCGCUCUUCAAAGCUAAUUGACACUCGGUGUUAUCUAGUUCUGAUUGCAUAUGCAUAAAACUUGAU